GACGAACGCUGGCGGCGUGCUUAACACAUGCAAGUCGAACGGAAAGGCCCUGCUUUUGUGGGGUGCUCGAGUGGCGAACGGGUGAGUAACACGUGAGUAACCUGCCCUUGACUUUGGGAUAACUUCUGGAAACUGGGGCUCAUACCGGAUAGGAGCUCCUGCUGCAUGGUGGGGGUUGGAAAGUUUCGGCGGUUGGGGAUGGACUCGCGGCUUAUCAGCUUGUUGGUGGGGUAGUGGCUUACCAAGGCUUCGACGGGUAGCCGGCCUGAGAGGGUGACCGGCCACAUUGGGACUGAGAUACGGCCCAGAAUCCAACGGGAGGCAGCAGUGGGGAAUAUUGCACAAUGGGCGGAAGCCUGAUGCAGCAACGCCGCGUGCGGGAUGACGGCCUUCGGGGUGUAAACCGCUGUCGCCGGUGACGAAGAGUGAGUGACGGUAAUGGGUAAAGAAGCACCGGCUAACUACGUG
rnacentral:rRNA from 1 species